GUGCCAGCCGCCGCGGUAAUACGUAGGGGGCAAGCGUUAUCCGGAUUUACUGGGUGUAAAGGGAGCGUAGACGGUGAUGUAAGUCAGAUGUGAAAGCCCAGGGCUCAACCCUGGGACUGCAUUUGAAACUAUGUCACUAGAGUGCAGGAGAGGUAAGUGGAAUUCCUAGUGUAGCGGUGAAAUGCGUAGAUAUUAGGAGGAACACCAGUGGCGAAGGCGGCUUACUGGACUGUAACUGACGUUGAGGCUCGAAAGCGUGGGGAGCAAACAGGAUUAGAAACCCUGGUAGUCC
rnacentral:rRNA from 1 species